AUGAGCAGUGAUUGGUUUGAUAUUCAGACAUUAAAAACCUUCAAACCAUCAUUUGACAGCGAGGUCGUGACUCCUAUUGUUCAUUCAGCUCCACAACAAACGCAACACAAACAGAGAAACACAGGAGGUUACCUUAGUCGUGGCGAUGCUGUUGACAAAGCUGACUUGCUGGAAACCCUUCUCGCUCAUGGUGAGGCAAACCUCCCAGCGCUCAUUGACCGCCUCGUGGAUCACAGUGAGGGUCAUCAGAGCCACAGUAUCUUUGUCCAGGGUGCUCAUCUUGAAUUUGCUCAAAUCUGGCUUGAAGGUGAUGCAAGUGAACUCCUCUCCAUCAAAGGCUUUGAUGUUCGUAUCUCCUGCUCUCCCCAUGUUGUCGUACCACGUCUAUGGACAACACAGAAUAAGAGACUUUAUAAAAUGUUACCAAACAUCAGUAAGUAGACUAAUCUUCCUUCUUACCUGUUUGAACGUUUUCCUGGACUCCUUACAGGCAGUCUCUACGGUAAACUUUGUACUGAAGAUGUUGCACAGCUUGGCACCGUAACCAUUUCGUCCACCUGAAGAAUACAUUUUCAAUUAAGGACAUCCAGUCAAAUGCUUGACUUUCCAAAAGUUGUGUUCAACCAUAAAUAAUAAAUGCUUUACCUGUGACUUUCUUCUGCUCAUCGUCAUAGUUACUGGAAGUUAGGAGCUGUCCAAAGAUGAGAGCAGGAACGUAGACCUUCUCCACCUUGUGCUCCACCACGGGAAUCCCUUUCCCGUUAUUCCAUACGCUGAUGGUGUUGUUUUCCCUAAGCAAAAAACACAAAUGUUACAGUGCAGCUAACAUCACAAAAGCACAUGCUUUGCAUCCAAACCAGAGGUGCAGAAUUCAAAUUUGGCUUACACAUCAAUGUUGACUUUGAUGCAAGACAUGCUUUUGUCCCGCUGCUUGUUGUCAGCUGCAUUCACUUUAGUAAAAUGAAAGAAAAAGUAUUUUUAAUGAGAUCAAUAAAAACCUUAUCAAAACUUUAGAUCAACCAAAUAUGUUAGAAGGAUUUCCUCACCAAGAAUCUCAUCAAAUAUCUUGUAAAGUCCAGGCACAAACGUCACAUCCCGACAGUUCAGUCCAACAUCCACAUCGUACACCCACAUUUGCUGAUGGGGAAAUAGACAGUGAGCUAAUUAUAUAUAUAUGAAAACACAAUUUUUCCCACCAACUAAAAAUCAAAUUUGGUGUUGGAAAUUAUUGAAGAAUUUUCGAUAUUUCUAUUUAUUUCUGUGAAUUAAAGAUGCAUCAUUUUAACUUACCGCACAUAAUUAAUUUAGUCCACAUAUUUAUUUCAUUGAAGCAUUUGAUGGCUUUGAUUGUUUAUAAUUUGUACUUUUUAUCUUUUAAUUCAUAGGAUCUCCUUUCAAAUAGCAGCAUUUCCUUCAAUUUUUAUGUUCAUUUUUUUUUUGCCGUUACUUUUAGUCUAUUUCAUUUUAUGGUUUUAACUUUAUUGUAUAUAGAGUUCUUUAUGUAUGAUGAUAAAAAAAGGUGCUCCACAGAUAAAGUGAUAGAUUGAUAUUAGAUUAAAAUAUAAAAAGACUAUUUACUCACCUGGGUGACGGGCUCAACAGAACCAAUGUAAGAGUCGGGUCUGAGCAAAAUGUGCUCCAACUGGGUCUUUUUCUGAUAGAUCCUCUCCACUGAAAGACGUUUAGGGUCUUUCUUUGUCUUCUCCAGAGGCUUGUUUUCAUAAAGGGCCUAAAAGAAAUAAAAAAAACAGUUGUUAAUGCUUGACUUUUGUAGUUAAAUCACCUAAACUGAUUAUUUUUAGUGGAAUAAUAAACAGGUAAGAACCCCAAACAGCUUUACUACACGUUAACUCUAAAUAUUUG
ensembl:lncRNA